UCGCACCCUUGAGUUCGGCGGCUUCGGGAUGAGCGCAGCUGCUGAGAUCAGACUGGCCAGGACAAGCGGGCAGCCGGGGUAGACCCGCGAGGGGUUCGGAUUCGUGGUGCGAUGCCCAAUAGAGCCGCGGGAAGGCGCGAGCGCGCGUUAGGGUGGAAAUAUUCGCCGAAGACAGAGCCCCAAUCCUGGAGCUCACUGGCGGCUGGAUUCGCUGGAAUGUGGGGGUGGAAAGGACCCCAAGAACCCGGAAGCCCAGGUUCCUGCUGGAGCUGCAGAUGCUGUGGCAAGGUGGAGAGGAAGUGUCUAGGCGCUUUAAACAAUGGAUGCCACAGGGCGCCCAGGGUUGAGAGAAAGGCUACCAAGCGUCUGGCUAAGAAAGAGAUGCAUGGCUGGAGGACUGCUGCCUUUGUGGUCGCUUCUCCGCCGCUUCCAGGAAGGCUGGGUGCUUUGGGGCAGGUUUGAACACACAAAGCCCCUAUUCUGAGCCGGGCUGAAGCUCAGGCGGAGUCAGAGGUUUGCACACAACCCUUGCCUCCGUGCGGCUGCGGAUAGUGAGCCCAGGGUUCUGGCAGGGCCGGGUCGUUGCGUUCUGACCCUGCAGGAGUACUGCUAAUACAGUGGAACACUGGGCGGUGCUGGCAUCUGCCAUUUCUCGGCACACUGGUACCAUUUUAUUAAAACAAAAGCAAAAACAAAAACGAGAAAGAUGCAGAAUACAUCAGUGUCCCUAUUUGCCCCUUGUUUUCUCCUCUCUGAUCCCUGUUGGCAUUUGCAAAACUAAAACUUUUCUUCCUCCCUUCCUUCUUUUCUUUCUAAGAUUACUUACAAGAACCAUGCAAUUCAGGGCCUGCAAAAGAAAACAAGAUUUGCUGAGAACACAGAGGAGGAAUAGAAUUUGACGUUGACCGCCCCCCUUCCCCAAUAUUCCCCUUAUCCCAUCUUGCCAGCACCUCGUUGGACAUUCACGUAAAACAGAAACAAUGAUUUCAUCCCAAACGAGGAGCAGAGGGGAAAAAGCAUGGCACUUCGAGCAGUCUGGAAGUUCUGAGGCCCCAGGGAUGCCAGAGAUAAUGAGUCAGGACUGCCAGUGGAAAGGACGCACUUAAAAUUCUGUCCUGAAUGGACGCAAACCUGAGCCAGCCCGGGCGCACUGAACUUGCUUCUCUGCUGUAGGUCGAUUGCACUAAGAAUUUAACCAUUUUCUGCUUCAUGGACUUCAAACAGUAGGCCGGCAAAGAGCAGUAAAAGUUUGUUUGUUAAAAAAAACAAAAACAAAAACAAACCCGUCAUUAAAAAUGAGUUCCUUCUCUGGCUCAGGACUGCGCGUCUACCUUCGCAGUACGGGCCAUCAACUCCUGGAGUCAGCGGGCCUGUGGGAGGUGAUGGGGCCUCACUUCUCCUCCCCUCCUCUGGGAUGAAACUCGGAGAGCGCUAAAGGGGAACAACUGCUUGCGGAGGGGGUGGGAAAGAUACUGGAAACAAUGGGGGGGAAAUUGUACAUUUCUAGAUAUACUAUGGAAAUAAAGGAAACUAAGAGUGGACUUUGGUCUGGACUCCACCUGUGCCAGCGUCCUGGCCAAGGACCUUCCCCAAGAUUGCAGGGCUUGGGGGAGAAAUCAGGCUUUGCAAGUUUCUUUCCCCAGCAGUAUCAGCCUGGGGGAGUCCUUUGACUUCAAUCUUUGCUGAUAUUUCCACCAAGAAGAGAGGUGAGUAAGGUAGAGCCCCAAGAGAGUAAGAGAAGUGGGGGGCACCAAGCUGGAACUUAUUUUAUCUUCUCCUCUCCCCACCAGUCCCCCUCUCCAGCCCCCAAAAUAGAGGAGAGGAGAUGUUGCCUUCUUAAACUUCUAGGGUGUUUGGGUGAGAAAACCCUAGCUAGAGAGAAUACAAACAUCGGCUGCUAAACUAAUUAAUGUAACUUCACAGGCUGUUCUGGGAAGUGCGAAAACUUUCUCCUUGCAAUUGCAUUAAUUAGAGAUGCUUCUGGCCAGAGGAGUUCAACUUUGCAUGCUCUUCAGCAGGCUCCUGUUCUUCCUGUUAACUAGAACUAACAGAUGUGGUUGACACAUGUCCCCAUUUCACUUAACAGCUCAGUAAACGACAUAUAAGGCAGAUGAGUCUCCUUGGUCUCUGCUAAAGCAAAGGAGUUUGUCAAACA